UCUCCUGCAGCUUCAGGGGCAGCGUCAUCUUCUUUUGCUUCGGGAAUUGAGGCGGUGUCGUCAGGUUUGUGAUCAUCAGAAGGAGGAGAAGCGCCACCAGAAGAGGCGGAUCGACGGUGGUUAGCAGCGGCUUGAUGGACGUGAUUGUAACUGCCUUUCUCGAGAAAGAGCUGAUUGAAGUGGACUUUACAGUAGAGGACGCCAUUAAGAGAAGCGUAAGAAGAGUGAGUCAAAGGACAACCACUGUGUGUGCACCUGAAGCAAGUCUUGUGAAUGAUGAUAACUUGCUUGGAGUUCGAGUCUUGCAGUAUCCAUCAAUUGAGACAAAUCAGAUGAAAAAAAAGAGGAAAUAAAAACAAGAUGAUGAAUCUUUGAAGACAUUACCAGAUGAUCAUUGGGCUUCUCGGUCUUUCCUGCCUGAAAAUUCUUGCUGUAAUUGCCAGAUUCUUUGAAAAGCUGUUCGAAGUGUGGCUUACAGUAAAGAACUCCAUCCAUUGAUGAGUAAUUGCUUAUCUGUGUUAAGAAAAGAUGUGGUCUUUUAAAACAAUGAAGCAUUGUCGAAAAACAGAGUAACAAUGGAGGAAGAAGAAGAAAAGAGAAAUACCACGAGAGUGCCUUUGCAAUGGGUGCAUCUGAAACAUGAUUUGUGAUAAGUAUUACCCUCUAAUGUUAACAAAUCCAUCACGUACACGGUUUUGUCACAGGCCUUGCAUUUAUCCAAUGUUCCUGUAAACGACAUUUUCUCUCUUUCUUUCGGAUGUUAGAUUCAAAAAGUUUGUUCUUCGUUCGCCGGUUCUUGUCUUAGGACACGACCAAACGACGACGAGAGAAAAAACACCAGGUUUUGUGUUUUUUUCUUUUCAUCUCUCAAGUUCUCUGUCUUAUUUAUCAAAAAUUCUUGAAGAAAUGAGAAUUUGUGGUAAUUUUGGUUCUAGUGGUAGAGAUUCGAAAGAGGAGAAGCCAUUCAAUCAUUGUCGAUCAUCAAAAUUCUAAUUUCAAUUUUACAAUUU